rnacentral:rRNA from 1 species
GUUAGGAAUUUUGCACAAUGGGGGAAACCCUGAUGCAGCAACGCCGCGUGGAUGAUGAAGGCCUUCGGGUCGUAAAAUCCUUUUCAACGGGAAGAAACGGACGGUACCGUUGGAAUAAGCCACGGCUAACUACGUGCCAGCAGCCGCGGUAAUACGUAGGUGGCGAGCGUUAUCCGGAUUUACUGGGCGUAAAGAGCAUGUAGGCGGUUCCGUAAGUUGGGCGUGAAAGCCCCCGGCUUAACUGGGGAGGGUCGUUCAAUACUGCGGGACUUGAGGGUGGACGAGGAGACUGGAAUUCCCGGUGUAGUGGUGAAAUGCGUAGAUAUCGGGAGGAACACCUGUGGCGUAGGCGAGUCUCUGGGCCACUCCUGACGCUGAGAUGCGAAAGCGUGGGGAGCGAACGGAAUUAGAAACCCUAGUAGUCC